rnacentral:rRNA from 1 species
AUUGAACGCUGGCGGCAUGCCUUACACAUGCAAGUCGAACGGCAGCACGGGAGUAAUCCUGGUGGCGAGUGGCGAACGGGUGAGUAACAUAUCGGAACGUGCCCAGUCGUGGGGGAUAACGCAGCGAAAGCUGUGCUAAUACCGCAUACGAUCUACGGAUGAAAGCGGGGGAUCGCAAGACCUCGCGCGAUUGGAGCGGCCGAUAUCAGAUUAGCUAGUUGGUGGGGUAAAGGCCCACCAAGGCGACGAUCUGUAGCUGGUCUGAGAGGACGACCAGCCACACUGGAACUGAGACACGGUCCAGACUCCUACGGGAGGCAGCAGUGGGGAAUUUUGGACAAUGGGCGCAAGCCUGAUCCAGCAAUGCCGCGUGCAGGAUGAAGGCCUUCGGGUUGUAAACUGCUUUUGUACGGAACGAAACGGCUCCUUCUAAUACAAGGGGCUAAUGAUGGUACCGUAAGAAUAAGCACCGGCUAACUACGUGCCAGCCGCCGCAGUAAUAC